AAGAGACAGCAGCAGCCGCGGGAAUACAGAGGGUGCGUGCGUUAAUCGGAUUUACUGGGCGUAAAGCGUGCGUAGGCGGCUAAUUGAGUCGGAUGUGAAAUCCCCGAGCUUAACUUGGGAAUUGCAUUCGAUACUGGGAAGCUAGAGUAUGGGAGAGGAUGGUAGAAUUCCAGGUGUAGCGGUGAAAUGCGUAGAGAUCUGGAGGAAUACCGAUGGCGAAGGCAGCCAUCUGGCCUAAUACUGACGCUGAGGUACGAAAGCAUGGGGAGCAAACAGGAUUAGAUACCCGCGUAGUCCCUGUCUCUUAUAC
rnacentral:rRNA from 1 species